rnacentral:rRNA from 1 species
UACGAAGGGGGCUAGCGUUGCUCGGGAAUUACUGGGCGUAAAGCGCACGUAGGCGGUCUUUUAAGUCGGGGGUGAAAUCCUGGAGCUCAACUCCAGAACUGCCUUCGAUACUGGAAGACUCGAGUCCGGGAGAGGAUGAGUGGAACUGCGAGUGUAGAGGUGAAAUUGUAGAUAUUCGCAAGAACACCAGUGGCGAAGGCGGCUCACUGGCCCGGUACUGACGCUGAGGUGCGAAAGCGUGGGGAGCAAACAGGG